rnacentral:rRNA from 1 species
CCUUGGAGUGGGGAAUAACGGCUGGAAACAGCCGCUAAUACCGCAUGAUGCAUCUGAGUCGCAUGGUUUGGAUGCCAAAGAUUUAUCGCUCUGAGAUGAGCUCGCGUCUGAUUAGCUAGUUGGCGGGGUAACGGCCCACCAAGGCGACGAUCAGUAGCCGGACUGAGAGGUUGGCCGGCCACAUUGGGACUGAGACACGGCCCAGACUCCUACGGAAGGCAGCAG